UGUUCUGAAACCGUGAAUGAGCGUGC
rnacentral:piRNA from 1 species